CCUACGGGUGGCAGCAGUGAGGAAUAUUGGUCAAUGGGCGCGAGCCUGAACCAGCCAAGCAGCGUGAAGGAUGACUGCCCUACGGGUUGUAAACUUCUUUUAUAAAGGAAUAAAGUGAGGCACGUGUGCCUUUUUGUAUGUACUUUAUGAAUAAGGAUCGGCUAACUCCGUGCCAGCAGCCGCGGUAAUACGGAGGAUCCGAGCGUUAUCCGGAUUUAUUGGGUUUAAAGGGUGCGUAGAUGGGUUGAUAAGUCAGUUGUGAAAGUUUGCGGCUUAACCGUGAAAUUUCCAUUAAUACUGGUGGUCUUGAGUGCAGUUGAGGUAGGCGGAAUGUGUGGUGUAGCGGUGAAAUGCUUAGAUAUCACGAAGAACUCCGAUUGCGAAGGCAGCUUACGAAACUGCCACUGACAUUGAGGCUCGAAAGUGUGGGUAUCAAACAGGAUUAGAUACCCUUGUAGUC
rnacentral:rRNA from 1 species